AAUGAACGCUGGCGGCAGGCCUAACACAUGCAAGUCGAACGGAUCCUUCGGGAUUAGUGGCGGACGGGUGAGUAACGCGUGGGAACAUACCCUUUGGUACGGAAUAGCCUCGGGAAACUGGGAGUAAUACCGUAUGUGGUCGAGAGACGAAAGAUUUAUCGCCAAGGGAUUGGCCCGCGUUGGAUUAGGUAGUUGGUGGGGUAAUGGCCUACCAAGCCGACGAUCCAUAGCUGGUUUGAGAGGAUGAUCAGCCACACUGGGACUGAGACACGGGCCAGACUCCUACGGGAGGCAGCAGUGGGAAUUCUUAGACAAUGGGGGAGACCCUGAUCUAGCCAUGCCGCGUGAUCGAUGAAGGCCUUAGGGUUGUAAAGAUCUUUCAGGUGGGAAGAUAAUGACUGUACCACCAGAAGAAGCCCCGGCUAACUCCGUGCCAGACGCCGCCGUAA
rnacentral:rRNA from 1 species